rnacentral:lncRNA from 1 species
GUUCGCCGGGGCCAGGGUGAGUCCAGCCCGGCGGGGUCCCGGCGGGACAGGGGAGGCAGGAGAGCGGCAAAGGGCGCUGGCACAGCCCGGUCACCUGCCCGCAGGUACCCGGUGCCGGACAGGGAUGGCCGGGUGGCGUCCCCAUCCAGCCCGGCCCGACACGGACACACAGGGACCGGGAGCCGUCCCAGUGCCCCGAGCACUCACUCGGGAGCUGCUCGGGGUCUGGCUGGGUGAGCUGGGAAGGGACUUUGGGAUGGAUGCGUUUUCCGAACAUCCCUUCCAGCCUCAGAUCUCAUAGAUGGAUCCAACCCAGAGGUCUCUGAAGAGCAGAGGACUCGGGGUAAGGUCUGGAUUUAAUUCAAUUUAAUUCCUGACCCUUUAAGUAUUCUUCAAAAUGAGAAAACUGGAAAUCAGCCUAGCAGGAGUCACCUGCUGGAAAGAAAUAUUUGAAGUUUUGCUAGAAAUAAACACCAUACAGGCAUCCA